rnacentral:lncRNA from 1 species
CUGGCCGAGCAGGCUGAACGUUAUGAGGAAAUGGUUGAGUUCAUGGAAAAAGUUGCAAAAACAGUUGAUGUUGAGGAGCUAACCGUGGAGGAAAGGAACCUUCUCUCAGUUGCUUACAAGAAUGUGAUUGGGGCCAGGAGGGCUUCAUGGAGGAUCAUCUCUUCGAUUGAGCAGAAGGAGGAGAGCAGGGGAAACGAAGACCAUGUCUCAGUAAUUAAGGAGUACAGGAGCAAGAUUGAGAAUGAGCUCAGCAAGAUCUGUGAUGGGAUUCUUAGCCUCCUUGAGUCUCAUCUCAUUCCCU